GGGGCACUGUGCCUCUGCAAAAACCAAAGGAGGUUGAGGUUGAAACUCUUCCUCUCUCACAAAACCUUCCAUUAUCGCCAUCUUCACAAAGCUCAAACCCUCUCUUUACUCUUUACUCUACUUGCCGGAGCCGCUCCGGAGCUCAAUUCAAUCCAAUCAUGAACGACGACGAUGCAUGUGGAGUUAUGGAGGCUCAGUACAUACGCAGGCAUCACCGUCACCAUCCCAACGACAAUCAGUGUACCUCCGCCGUUUUCAAGAACGUCAGAGCUCCGGUUCCUCUUGUUUGGUCACUGGUGAGGAGAUUCGAUCAGCCCCAGAAGUAUAAGCCUUUUGUUAGUCGUUGUGUUGUGAAAGGAGACCUGGGCAUUGGAAGUGUAAGGGAAGUGAAUGUGAAAUCUGGUCUUCCUGCAACCACUAGUACUGAGAGGUUGGAGCUUCUUGAUGAUGAAGAACACAUUCUCGGAAUCAGAAUCGUCGGUGGAGAUCACAGGCUGAAAAACUACUCUUCCAUCAUGACUGUCCAUCCAAAGGUUAUCGAUGGAAGACCUGGG
rnacentral:misc_RNA from 1 species